UGAACGCUGGCGGCAGGCCUAACACAUGCAAGUCGAACGGAGUUAUAUUGUAGCUUGCUAUGGUAUAACUUAGUGGCAGACGGGUGAGUAAUGUAUAGGAAUCUACCUAGUAGUACGGAAUAAUUGUUGGAAACGGCAACUAAUACCGUAUACGCCCUACGGGGUAAAAAUUUAUUGCUAUUAGAUGAGCCUAUAUUAGAUUAGCUAGUUGGUGGAGUAAUAGCCUACCAAGGCAAUGAUCUAUAGCUGAUCUGAGAGGAUGAUCAGCCACACUGGAACUGAGAUACGGUCCAGACUCCUACGGGAGGCAGCAGUGGGGAAUAUUGGACAAUGGGCGAAAGCCUGAUCCAGCCAUGCCGCAUGAGUGAAGAAGGCCUUUGGGUUGUAAAGCUCUUUUAGUGAGGAAGAUAAUGACGGUACUCACAGAAGAAGUCCUGGCUAACUCCGUGCCAGCAGCCGCGGUAAUACGGAGAGGGCUAGCGUUAUUCGGAAUUAUUGGGCGUAAAGGGCGCGUAGGCGGAUUAGUAAGUUAAAAGUGAAAUCCCAAGGCUCAACCUUGGAAUUGCUUUUAAAACUGCUAAUCUAGAGAUUGAAAGAGGAUAGAGGAAUUCCUAGUGUAGAGGUGAAAUUCGUAAAUAUUAGGAGGAACACCAGUGGCGAAGGCGUCUAUCUGGUUCAAAUCUGACGCUGAAGCGCGAAGGCGUGGGGAGCAAACAGGAUUANAUACCCUGGUAGUCCACGCUGUAAACGAUGAAUGUUAAAUAUGGGGAGUUUUACUUUCUGUAUUACAGCU
rnacentral:rRNA from 1 species